rnacentral:tRNA from 1 species
AUUUUUAUAGUUUAUUUAAAACAUUAUAUUUUCAUUAUAAAAAAAAUUAAUAUUUAAAAAUU